rnacentral:rRNA from 1 species
CGCAAUUCGUGCUAAGGUAGCAUAAUCAUUUGUCUUUUAAAUGAAGACUAGAACAAAAGAUUUAAUAUUUUAAUUUUUAUAUUUAAAUAUAUAAUCAAACCUUUACAAAAUGUAAAAAGACAUUUCUAAAAAAGAAAGACGACAAGACCCUAUCGAACUUUACUUAAGUUUAACUGGGGCAGUUAAUUAAUAAUUAUUUUAAUUUAAAUUUAAUUAAUAUUAUCCAAUUAACUGAUAAUUAAGUUACCGUAGGGAUAACAGCGCAAUUAAUUUUUAAAGCUCUUAUUUAAAAAAUAGAUUACGACCUCGAUGUUGAAUUAAUAACCUAUCUUUUAAAGCAAAUUUUAGAAUAAGGGAGUCUGUUCGACUCAUAACAAAUUACAUGAUUUGAGUUCAGACCGGUAUAAGCCAGGUCGGUUUCAAUCUUCUAAAAAUCUUUUUACAGUACGAAAGGACCUAAAAAUCUAAUUUAAUUAAUUAAUUGGCAGAAAAAUGCAUUAGAAUUAGAAUCUAAUUAAACUAAU